UGUUCAAGGGGAGCCAUUAGGCUGAGAGGUUAUUAAGUUAACGACCCUAAACCUGAUCUAGGUAAUGCUAGCGUAGGGAUUAAGAAUACUU
rnacentral:ncRNA from 1 species